UAGGGAAUCUUCCGCAAUGGGCGAAAGCCUGACGGAGCAACGCCGCGUGAGUGAUGUAGGUCUUCGGAUCGUAAAACUCUGUUAUUAGGGAAGAACAAAUGUGUAAGUAACUAUGCACGUCUUGACGGUACCUAAUCAGAAAGCCACGGCUAACUACGUGCCAGCAGCCGCGGUAAUACGUAGGUGGCAAGCGUUAUCUGGAAUUAUUGGGCGUAAAGCGCGCGUAGGCGGUUUUUUAAGUCUGAUGUGAAAGCCCACGGCUCAACCGUGGAGGGUCAUUGGAAACUGGAAAACUUGAGUGCAGAAGAGGAAAGUGGAAUUCCAUGUGUAGCGGUGAAAUGCGCAGAGAUAUGGAGGAACACCAGUGGCGAAGGCGACUUUCUGGUCUGUAACUGACGCUGAUGUGCGAAAGCGUGGGGAUCAAACAGG
rnacentral:rRNA from 1 species